CUCUCUUCUUUCUCUUUCUCUCCUCUUUAAGGUAAUCUUAAUCGUCUCCUCUUUUUUCUUUUUUCUCUAUUUUUUUUUGCUUGAGGAUCCUUUUAGUUCUCAUCCAAUCUAUAACUUCUCUCCUAUUUCACCUAAAAUUGGUAUUUUGAUCCCUUUGCUUUUAAUAUGGCAGAUAAAAGAUGUCUUCCAAAAGAAAAGAAAGUGAAAGUGGAUCAAUUUUUACCCGGCCAACAAAAAAGAUAUGGCAGAUUCGGGUUGGAACAUGGCAACUCUGCGCAACACCAUACAAAAAUUUCUAAGGCAUAUUCAUGAACUCCAGUGGGAGUUGGGUGCCAUGAAAUCAAGGCUGCUUGGUGAGAUUUGAAGGCUGGGGAGGGCCAUGCUGUUGUCGAUUGACAAUAAUAAUAUUAAGAAUAAUAAUAAUGAUAAUGAUAAUGAUAAUAAUAAUUAGGUUAUAUUUUUUAUUUUAGCAUAUGUAUUUUGUUUCAUUUGUAUUGGAUCUACCUAAACCUAAUGUAUGUUUUGUUUUAUUUUGUUUUGUAUUUUUAAAUGUAAUGAAUGAAAAAAUUUAUGUUUGGUU